GUUAAAUCAAAAUAAAAUAGUAUUAUAGGCUAAAAUAUAUAUGUACACAUAAACAUUUAGUGUAAAUGUGCAUAUAAAAGGAGAAAAAAGGAAAUACAUUAAGAUGAUAAUACUGUAGGUAGGUAGGGAGAUUGUGGUAGUUUACUUUUUCACAUAUUCCAAAAUAUUUAAUUACUAUUUUAUAACUUACAUAAAUUGUAGAAUAACUUCUCUUGUUUAGUAGCAGCAUAGAGAGGGGUAAAACUGGCAGAAAUGGAUAUGUUUGAUCAAUGUUGAUCCUUCAAACUACAGUGAUCCACUUCUGAGAACAGGGACUCACAUUUAAUGAGGGAGUAAGCCACGUUCUUACAGAGCGUGAGAUUCAGCUUCUCCUGUCAUGAGAUGGGGGCAGGCUCUGGGCCAGGAGAGCAAUGGCCAGCUUUGGAAGCUAUAUCUCAGGUCACAUUCAAAAGCACACAUUUCCAAUUCUUUUCCCAACGCUGCUUUUGUCACAUUAGAAUGAAAUUUGCCCUCUGUGUUGAAAUAUUCUAUAAAAAACACAAUCUUGCCUAAGUUAAAAUUUAAAGUUAGCUUGUCUGACAGCUGGGAUGUAAAGAGACAGUGAAAGGAUUCUGACUUUUGGCAUUGUCAGCAGUUUCCCUUGAGAGUGGAGCCAUGUCUUUCUGCAACCUGCAGCUCUCGCUUUCCUGCUGUGACUGAGCCAGUGGGAUCGUCGGCCAGGAGAGGGCGCCUCACUCAGAUCCUUCACUGAAUUCAACCCAGUCUGCUCAACAGUUCACCAAGAGUCUUGCUAUCUCUAAUUUCAGGAUAUGCUUUCCAUCACCAAUACCCAGGUUAAUGGACACUCCUCAACCCUUUGUCAGUCCCUGCCCAGCAUUGCCUUUGAGACUGAAUUCUGGACGGCCUUUCCAUGUUCUCUUUUCUGUAAAAAUGAGACUUUUUAUUUCUGGAAGCACUUGCCUAGGAGAUAGCAAAGUUAAAUGUUGUGUUUCAUCACAAUCAGUCUCAACUAACUAAAACUAAUUAAACACUAGGAAUUUUGAGUAACCCACCUACCCUCACUAGACCCUUUCUGGAUCUAACUGAAGAUGUUCAUGAUCAAGAAGCAAGAGGCUGUUUCAGCUCUCAUGUACAGAUCUCAGCCUUGUAUAGAAAGGUAGUUCUCAGUGCUUAAUUAGCACCAGCAGCAUGGCCCUACACUUCAUAGCAUUUAAAACCUUCAGUUUUGCCCUUAGGUCCACCUAUGCAGUUGUCCCCUAAUAAGCUCAGCUCAGCUCCAGGCCACCCCUGGCUCUGUGGCCCAUGGUUUUUGUAUUAUUCUUUGUCAUCUCUAAUUAGCCUCUUCCGCCUCGCCACUACUUAAUUAUUUAUCCUUUUCAGAACUUCUGGCAUGUAUUGUACUAUAUUUUACUUUUAAAAUAUGUUGCCAGUGUUCUCAGUUUGUCAUUUAUAUGACAUGUUCCAUGACAAAGUACAUCCCUAAUACAAAGCCUUAAGCAAUCUCAUUAAGGACAGAUUGCUGAUAUCUAAUUUCUUUUCCCAUUCGUAGAGGCAGUGGUCUUCAAAGUGUGGCCUCCAGACAGCAAUAUCAAUAUCAUCUGGGAAUUUGCUAGAAAUGUAAAUUCUCAGGUCCCAGCUCAAAUUCAAUGAAUCAGAAACUCUGGGUGUGGGGCCCAGCAGUCCUUCAGGUGUUUCUAACCACAUAUUCAAAUUUGACAAUCGUUUACGCAAGGUCUCACCCCUGGUAGUGUCUUAAUAAAUGCCUGUUAGGUUGACUUUGAUAAGUCUUUCUCUCAAGCCAUCUUAAAAAGCAUGGAAUCCAAAAAUUCCAGAAAGAAAUAAGGAAAAAUGUUACAAAGAAUGAAGUAGGGAUUUUAGGUUUACGAGCAAUUAGAGGGAACCGAGUCUUCACAAAGAAACACAAUAUCCUGAUUUCCUAUCUCAUGCUUGAUUUUCCUACAUUGUCUCACCUCAGCUGCAUGAUUCCAUGUAUCUCACUAACCCUUCUAUUUGCCUUCUGUAAGGUUACAUGUGGAUUCUGAGAAAAAUCUUUUUCAACUUUCUAUCUCUUAUUCCCAUUUCAGUCUAUGUCUUCACAGAAAAUUAUCACUGCAAAGCUGAGCGGUUUCUGGAGAAUCUUGGCUCAUUCACUGAAUUCUUUGGGAAGGGCUGGUUCCAAGAAAAGGGAAACUGAGCCAUCCUUCAGCAACUCUAGGAACAAAUCAAGGUACAUAUAAUGAUGGGGUAGUAAAUGCUAAUACCAGCUAUCUCCUUCCCUUGUAUUUAUCCCUGUUUUUGUUCCCCUCUGUCCACUCUGGCUUCCUAUUCUCCCUUUGUGGCAAAAUAUCCACUAUUCUUGAAGAAAGCGAACCAGCAAACCUGCUAAUAUUAAAGCUUCAGUGACCCAAUAGGUAGCUACACUUUGAGGAACAUUUGCAUUUCCAAAGAAAUUAUCUGAAGACAAAAAUGUCUAAUUCAAUGGGCUAAAAUGCAAAUUGUUAUAUUUCAGGCUAGAAAGAUAUCUAUCCCAAGGAACUUCCUUAUCAUGCUCUGGGAGACAGUAGGCUGCCUCAUGGAAGGCCGUUGUAGAUGUCCAAGUAAACAUUGCAAAAAACAGGUAUAGAAGCAUUGGCUUGGGACUGAGAAAUGAUAUUCAUUUGGUGCAAAAGUAAUUGCGAUUUUUGCCCUUGAAAAUGAUGGUUAAAACUGCAAUGACUUUUGCAUCAACCUGUGGAUUAGUAAUUGAUACACAAAGACAUGACACAUGAGAAUACCAAGUGCACUGCUUGGCACAUAGUAGACAUUCAACAAAUGCUUCUCGCUGACAACUUUUGCUUUCCUCCUCAAUCACCCACUUUUUAGAAUCCUUGAAAAAAUCUUACAAAUUUUUCAAAUAUUCAGGAAACUUAAAUAACAUCAGAUUUAGAGAAGAAUUAUUGACUGUAGCCAACUUUUGGACCUAUACAUUUUUUUUAAACUAUGUGAUGGGAAUCUCUUCAUUUUUUAGAGCAACAUGGAUGCAUAUCAAUUACAAACCUUGCUAAAUCAUCCUUUCUAUCUGUGAGGCAAUAAAAUUCAUUAUCCUGGUUAGUUUGAGGAUAUACUUAACCCAUAAACACCAACAGCAAGUAUAGAUUCAGACAUUUGUAUCUAUAAUUUAGACAGUUUAAAAUGCAAUAUUAAGUAAUUCAAAAAUUGUUCAAAGCUCAGUACCUUUUCACACAUUAAUACUUUGAUUAUCAACUUCCUUUUAAAGAGUAAGUGAGUAGAAAAGGGUAAGUAGAAAAGAGUAGAAGAGGCCUUUCUUUCACAAUUUGCCAAAACAUGCAUCACUUAUUUAAAAUAAAAAAAAAUGCUGUUUGAAAAACAAGAAGGAUGGCAAGAAUGAAGCUCCUUCAUGCAAGAUACCUCUGACUACCCUCUAAAGACAGAUACUAUGGCAUGGUCAUAGAAUUACUGCAGGAAAAAUUUGUCCACUGAGGCUGCUUCCUCCAGAGGUAAGGUUUAACUUAUGGUAACUUGCUAUGGAUCAACAGCUCAAGAUGAAGUGUGUGGCUGGCAAUUUAAGUGUAAAAUUAGAUUUCCAGUAUAAUCAGUCAUCUGAUAGCCCAUCUAAAUGUAUUCUGCAUUUGCACAUUUAAUUAAUUAUGUCUUAAUUGAAAACAUUUUGCUCAUAACGAUUGGUUCUAAUUUUAUUCCAAAUUAAAUUAGUAGGGGAGAAAUUUAGUUUGGGAAUUUAUUGAUUUUUAUAUAUAUUAAAGAAAAAGUAAAAAUAAUGGAUUUUCUCUUUUCUUCUUAAAAGGAAAUAUCUUUCUGCUCAUUUAGAGGUGCAAAGGAAAACAUUUAGAACUUUCCAGAUGAAUAAAUUGCAUUUCAUCUGAAUGAACAUCUAACUUUGGAGAUGGAGAGAACAUUCUUUCGUAUUGUUGUAGAUAUGCCUAGUAUAAUAUUGGUAUAAUUAAUUUUUCAGCUACAAUGCAGAUUCCUGGGUCAGUGCAAAAGACCUUGUUUAUUUAGAAGUGAUUAUCUGAGAAAGUGGCUCAUAAGUCUUAGAUUCCUGGAAUGCACAGUCUGGUCUGCAAAUUAAAAUAGCUAUUUAAAUUCCCUUUAUGAAAAUUAUGCCUGAUAGGGCACUUCCAUGUGCAGUGAGGUUUGUAUUUGCACAUCUAGAGCAUCCAGGAAAUCAGCGAAGUUGCGUUUUGUGUCUUUAGAUAUGCUACAGUUGAUAAACCCUAAGAUUCAGAUAUUAACUAUUGGAUAAGCUCUUGCAUUUCCCAUAACUUUAGCUUUGAAGCCAUUCAUUACAUUAAUACUAAGGAAAGAAUGUCAGAAAAUCCAAAGAGAGAGAAUUCACAGUUAUGAUUUUUGGACAUAUAAUUGGAAAGAAGUCAGAUUUGGCUUUUACAAUUAGUGCCAUAUAAUGUCACACAAAGUAUUUCCUGCAGUGUGCUCAAAGAGGUCAAUUUGUGAUUUAUUUGCAAGUCAUAGUUCUGAAAUUACUGACUUGUGUGUGUAACAAUUUAGCUUUAACUUGGGCACUUAAUUUAGCAUUAAAUAUAGCUCCUCUUCAAUAUUGAUCCUUGCCCUGAACAAGAUAUCAUUUCAUAAACCCAAUUAAACAUGGUGCCUACUGUGGUUUAAAUACCAAGACAGAUUAAAUGUAUUGUCCAGUUUCACAGAUCAGCAAUGCUUCUCUUCCUGUAUCACUAGCUCAUGAUUAACAUAAGGGACCAGUCUGUGCCAGUGGAUGGGCCAGAAUUAAAAGAGGAUAAAUAUUGAUGUCCUGCCUGAAAGAAAAUUGGGCACCCAAGGUGUCAGAGAGUUGUCUGAUAUACUGUGACAUGAAUGUCCCAUAUGUAUAAAUUGCAGCCUUUUUAAAAUAAGGUAGAAUUGUUUGUGGAAGAUUAAAAACUCUCUUUCUAAAUUGUUGAAUUAAAAUAUUUAGUUAAUAAAUAAAUCACUGCUAUUUUCAUCAAUAUUGGAGUUGUUUCUUCAAGUUUGUGUGUUUUCUCAAUUAGAAAAAAAGUCUAAUUUGUUUAAAUAGUGAGAAGUCAACAUUGAACUGUUGUCUACUCAAUAGCCACAAUUCCUUAUUUCUUGUUUACAAUGACCAUAGAUUGUUUAUGUUUGUAUUGUUGCAACAAGUUCACAGACAAUGGAUUCCUCUCCCAAUCUGGGAGGAUGAGCCAUGGUUAGUCUAGGCCAUGAAUAUUGUGGUAGAUUGUAUUGUGUGUUCAUAAUUCUUUGUUCUCUGGCCAGGUGCAGUGUCUCACGCCUGUAAUCCUAGCACUUCGGGAAACUGAGGCGGGCAGAUUGCCAGAGCUCAGGAGUUCGAGACUGGCCUGGGCAACAUGGCAAAACCCCUCUCUACUAAAAAUACAAAAAAUUAGCUGGGUAUGCUGGUGCGCACCUGUAAUCCCAGCUACUUGGGAGCCUGAGGUGUGAGAAUCACUUGAACCCAGAAGGCGAAGAAUGCAGUGAGCCAAGAUUGUGCCACUGCACUCCAGCCUGGAUGACAGAGCGAGACUCUGUCUCAGAAAAAAAUAAUUAAAAAAGAUGAUUCUUGUUCCCUCCCCAUCCUUACCUUUUUUUAAUGAGGAAAGAGAAUAUUUCCCUGUAUCACUGACUUUGGGCUUGGCUAUGUGACUGCUCUACCCAACAGAAUUUGGGUAGGUUAAUAGUAAUAGAAGUAACUAAGCAGAACUUUAAAGAAGCUUCUCCUCUUCAACUCUUGCUUAUAAAGCAUUAUAAAAAUCAAUAUAUAUAAAGCAUUAUAAAAAUCAAAUGCCCUAAGUAGUCUGUGUCCUUCAACAUGGGUCCAGGAAUGAGAGACACCUGGAGCACACCUGACUCUCAUCUGUAGUCUAAGGUAGAACUGCUGCAACCAAUUCACAAAAUUCAUGAGCAAGGAGUAAAUGCUUGCUGUUAUCGGUCAGUAACUUCUUGUCAUGUUUCUUAAGCAUUAUUGGAGCAAAAGCAAACUAAUACAAAUGUUAAUGUAAUUCCUUUGCUUGUGAUUGAUUUAGAGAUGAAUAUUUGUCUUGUUUCCAGCUAAUACAAUGUAUUUAGGAAGAAUGCCAAAGGAGGGAGCUUAUUAGUAGGAUUUUGACCUCUAAUGAAAAUGAUGGCCAAAUAUAUGAAAUUUUUUCUUUCUUUGGUUUUUAUUGUUCAAAGACAUAAUUAUUUAAGUUGUGUUAGUUGUGUGUGAUCUUUUAACUGUGAGGAAUUACAUAGAAUGAAAAUGGAAUGUGCUGUGGUGGCAGAACAGAAAGAAGUUGGGUGAUUGACACCAUUGAGCUGCUGCAGGAAAUCUGUUAGUCUCCAUUUCCAGGGGUCUUGCUAUGUAGAAAAAUUGGAUGACUUUAUUGCUUAAGUCACUAUAAGAAUGUUUUCUGUUACCUGCAACCCAAUGCACCCAACUAAUAAAGUAUGUUUCUAGAAAUACACUUGCCUGCACUCAUUUUUAAGACACACAGACCACAUACACACGGAGAGAUAUUUUUAAAGGUCUUGUACUACAUAAAUUGUACUAUUUUUUAAUUUAAAAAUAUGGGCCAGG
rnacentral:lncRNA from 10 species